CCUUUGGCUCUUUUCAGGGCCACCAAAUGUAUGUAAGAGAGUUAA
rfam:Aedes aegypti strain Liverpool supercont1.634 genomic scaffold, whole genome shotgun sequence.